AAUAGAUACCCCGGUAGUCCUGGCUGUAAACAUUGGGCACUGGGUAGUGGAACCCGCCGAUGGUUUCACUGCCGCAGGGAAACCGUGAAGUGCCCCGCCUGGGGAGUAUGGUCGCAAGGCUGAAACCUCAAAGGAAUUGACGGGGGGCUCACACAAGCAGUGGAGUAUGUGGCUUAAUUCGAGGCUACGCGAAGAACCUCACCUAGGCUUGACAUGCAGGAAUUAGCCGGCGGAAACGUCGGUGACGCCGCAAGGUGGAAUCUGCACAGGUGCUGCAUGGCUGUCGUCAGCUCGUGCCGUGAGGUGUUGGGUUAAGUCCCGUAACGAGCGAAACCCUUGUGUCCAGUUGCCAGCGCGUAAAGGCGGGGACUCUGGACAGACCGCCGGUAUUAAACCGGAGGAAGGCGGGGACGACGUCAAGUCAUCAUGGCCCUUAUGCCUAGGGCUGCACACGUACUACAAUGGGCCGGACAAAGCGACGCGAGACCGCGAGGUGGAGCAAAUCGCAAAAACCGUCCCCCGAGUUCAGAUUGCACUCUGC
rnacentral:rRNA from 1 species